rnacentral:rRNA from 1 species
AGCGAACGCUGGCGGCAGGCCUAACACAUGCAAGUCGAACGAACUCUUCGGAGUUAGUGGCGGACGGGUGAGUAACACGUGGGAACGUGCCUUUUGGUUCGGAAUAACUCAGGGAAACUUGUGCUAAUACCGAAUGUGCCCUUCGGGGGAAAGAUUUGUCGCCAUUAGAGCGGCCCGCGUCUGAUUCGCUAGUUGGUGAGGUAACGGCUCACCAAGGCGACGAUCAGUAGCUGGUCUGAGAGGAUGACCAGCCACACUGGGACUGAGACGCGGCCCAGACUCCUACGGGAGGCAGCAGUGGGGAAUGUUGCGCAAUGGGGGGAAGCCUGAAGCAGCCACGCCGCGUGAAUGAUGAAGGUCGUAGGAUUGUAAGAUUCUUUCACCGGGGACGAUAAUGACGGUACCCGGAGAAGAAGCCCCGGCUAACUUCGUG